CCCACUCGCACUAUCAUUUUACAUGUUCACUGGACCGUAAAAUUGGGGUCAAUACUUUAAAAUUGGCAUUAAAAUUAGAAAGACCAUAUCAUAGUUAACAUGUGUACUAAGUUUCAAGUUGAUUGGACUUCAACUUCAUCAAAAACUACCUUGACCAAAAACUUUAACCUGAGCUUCACACUAUCUUUUUCUUUGUUCAGUGGACCAUGAAAUUGGGGUCAAUACUUUAAUUUGACAUUAAAAUUAGAAAGAUCAUAUCAUAGGGAACAUGUGUACUAAGUUUCAAGUUGAUUGGACUUCAACUUCAUCAAAAAACUACCUCGACCAAAAACUUUAAUCUGAAGCGGGACGAACGAACGGACGAACGGAGGCACAGACCAGAAAACAUAAUGCCCCUCUACUAUCGUAGGUGGGGCAUAAAAAGACCAAA
rnacentral:lncRNA from 1 species